rnacentral:lncRNA from 1 species
AAGCUCUUGAGGUCCAUCUCUUUACUCCCGUACUUUCUUCUUUAUUUUAUUUUUGGUUGAAAUGGCUAUGAUUAUGUGUUAGGUGAUUGUAAUUGUCUGAUGUUGUUGUUGUUAUGAUCACGUGUUUGGCAAUGUGACUCCGGUGGUAUUGAUGAAAGAAGUUGAUUAGUUUUAAUGGUGCGGUUGGUUGAAAUAGAUUUGGGGACGGG